UGGGCCAGACCGCCGCAGAAAUGUGGUUUCCCCUUUGGGGCUGGUUCUGAAAGUUGGACCUGGCUCAGGAUGAACGCUGGCGGCGUGCUUAACACAUGCAAGUCGAACGAUGAAGGGAGCUUGCUCCUGGAUUAGUGGCGAACGGGUGAGUAACACGUGAGUAACCUGCCCUUAACUCUGGGAUAAGCCUGGGAAACUGGGUCUAAUACCGGAUAUGACUCCUCAUCGCAUGGUGGGGGGUGGAAAGCUUUUUGUGGUUUUGGAUGGACUCGCGGCCUAUCAGCUUGUUGGUGAGGUAAUGGCUCACCAAGGCGACGACGGGUAGCCGGCCUGAGAGGGUGACCGGCCACACUGGGACUGAGACACGGCCCAGACUCCUACGGGAGGCAGCAGUGGGGAAUAUUGCACAAUGGGCGAAAGCCUGAUGCAGCGACGCCGCGUGAGGGAUGACGGCCUUCGGGUUGUAAACCUCUUUCAGUAGGGAAGAAGCG
rnacentral:rRNA from 1 species